rnacentral:rRNA from 1 species
GACGUAGGGCGCGAGCGUUAAUCGGAAUUACUGGGCGUAAAGCGUGCGCAGGCGGUAAUGCAAGACAGAUGUGAAAUCCCCGGGCUUAACCUGGGAACUGCAUUUGUGACUGCAUUGCUGGAGUGCGGCAGAGGGGGAUGGAAUUCCGCGUGUAGCAGUGAAAUGCGUAGAUAUGCGGAGGAACACCGAUGGCGAAGGCAAUCCCCUGGGCCUGCACUGACGCUCAUGCACGAAAGCGUGGGGAGCAAACAGG